rnacentral:rRNA from 1 species
UACGUAGGGUGCAAGCGUUAAUCGGAAUUACUGGGCGUAAAGCGUGCGCAGGCGGUUGUGCAAGACAGAUGUGAAAUCCCCGGGCUUAACCUGGGAACUGCAUUUGUGACUGCACGGCUAGAGUGUGUCAGAGGGGGGUAGAAUUCCACGUGUAGCAGUGAAAUGCGUAGAUAUGUGGAGGAAUACCGAUGGCGAAGGCAGCCCCCUGGGAUAACACUGACGCUCACGCACGAAAGCGUGGGGAGCAAACAGG